rnacentral:rRNA from 1 species
GGCGAAAGCCUGAUCCAGCCAUGCCGCGUGUGUGAAGAAGGUCUUCGGAUUGUAAAGCACUUUAAGUUGGGAGGAAGGGUUGUAGAUUAAUACUCUGCAAUUUUGACGUUACCGACAGAAUAAGCACCGGCUAACUUCGUGCCAGCAGCCGCGGUAAUACGAAGGGUGCAAGCGUUAAUCGGAAUUACUGGGCGUAAAGCGCGCGUAGGUGGUUCGUUAAGUUGGAUGUGAAAGCCCCGGGCUCAACCUGGGAACUGCAUCCAAAACUGGCGAGCUAGAGUACGGUAGAGGGUAGUGGAAUUUCCUGUGUAGCGGUGAAAUGCGUAGAUAUAGGAAGGAACACCAGUGGCGAAGGCGACUACCUGGACUGAUACUGACACUGAGGUGCGAAAGCGUGGGGAGCAAACAGGAUUAGAUACCCUGGUAGUCCACGCCGUAAACGAUGUCAACUAGCCGUUGGAAUCCUUGAGAUUUUAGUGGCGCAGCUAACGCAUUAAGUUGACCGC